CUCACUCUCAACUCUUACCAAGUUACCAUCGUCACUCAGCUCUCGACUCCAUGGCAACCUUGGAAAAGCUCAGAUCCCCGCCGUCACCAGCACCGUCCUCGCUGUGCCAUUAGCCUCUCCUCCGCCUCGUCUCCUCCUCGUCACUAGCAUCGUCCUCCUCGCCAAUCUCCUCUGCAUCGUUGCCAGUGUCGUCUUCUCUGCUCUCCUACUUUGGCCAUCUUUCUGCUCUGGCCACCAUGCCCUAACCCUCAACAUUGCGCUGGCCACCGUCUUCUUUGUCAUCCCUUCCACCGCGCCUCCGCCUCGCAUCUGCUACAUCCCUCGUUCGUGCUCCUCCUCGCCGAUCUCCUCUACAUCGUUGCCAGUGUCAUCUUCUCUGCUCUCCUUCCUUGUGGUUUCACCUUACUUUUGUCAUCGCCUUUCUGCUCUGGCCAUCUUCCUGCUUUGGCCACCAUGCCCUAACCUUCAACAUUGCGCUGGCCACCGUCUUCUUUGUCAUCCCCUCCACCGCGCCUCCACCUCGCAUCUGCUGAUCCCUCGUUCGUGUUUGUCUCGCCAUUUUUGCUUUGGUCGAUUUUCCCUGCUGGUGCAUUCGUCUCUGCCAUUCCCUGCCUCGCCGUUUUUGCUUCGCUUGAUUCUCUACUGAGGGUUGUAAUAUUUAGAGAUGGGACAUAUCUGACCUUAAAAGAAGUUUUUGAGAGUUUGGACUAGACUGGGUUAAAUCUUAUUCCUAAAGUAGGAUAAUCUCAUUCAAGGUAUAGAGAAGGAAAUUGGAUCAUUACAAUUGGAAGAAAAGAAGCUUCUUGCUGAGAUAAAGAGAACUGCUAAGACGGGAAACGAGGUUGCAACUAAUAUAAAGUUCUUGCUCGACAGUUGGUAAGGCUUACACAGUAGAUUGCUAACCUUUAAGGUAGUCAAGCUCAGAUGAGAGGCAUAGCAACUCACACACAGCUAUUGAGAGAGAAGAAGAACAAGUUUGAAGAGGUUCUGUUGUUUCCGCUUUGCUCCUUCAUCCCUGCUGGUGCAUUCGUCUCUGCCAUUCCCUAUUUAGUUUUCUCUGCCAUUAGUCACUGAGUCUGCAGUUUAUUGGUUAGUUUCAAGGUGUAUUGUAGUUUCUAUGUUUUUAAGUUUUAUAAGGUUCAGAGUGUGAUGAAAUUAAAAAGUGUGGAGCCUGGACCAUAGUAGUAUUUUGAUUGUUGCAUAUUCCAGUUCAAAAAGCUUGAUGACCAUUUCUAUAUAUGCUAUGAAUACAUUAUGCAUAUGGUUUGUGGUUCUCACACUGGCCAAUAAUUGGGAA